GCUUACGGCCAUACCAACCUGGCUAUGCCCGAUCUCGUCUCAUCUCGGAAGCUAAGCAGGUUUGGGCCUGGUUGGUACUUGGAUGGGAGACCGCCUCGGAAUACCAGGUGCUGUAAGCU
ensembl:rRNA 5S_rRNA 5S ribosomal RNA